rnacentral:tRNA from 1 species
GGAAGGUUGGCAGAGCGGUUGAAUGCACCGGUCUUGAAAACCGGCGAAGUCGUAAGGCUUCCGUGAGUUCGAAUCUCACACCUUCCGCCA